AUCGAACGCUGGCGGCAUGCCUAACACAUGCAAGUCGAACGGCAGCACGGGUGCUUGCUCCUGGUGGCGAGUUGCGGACGGGUGAGUAAUACAUCGGAACAUGUCCUGUAGCGGGGGGUAGCCCGGCGAAAGCCGGAUUACUACCGCAUACGAUAUACGGAUGAAAGUGGGGGACCUUCGGGCCUCGCGUUAUAGGGUUGGUCGAGGGCUGAUUAGCUAGUUGGUGGGGUAAAGGCCUACCAAGGCGGCGAUCAGUAGCUGGUCUGAGAGGACGACCAGCCACACUGGGACUGAGACACGGCCCAGACUCCGACGGGAGGCAGCAGUGGGGAAUUUUCGGCAAUGGGCGAAAGCCUGAUCCAGCAAUGCCGCGUGUGUGAUGAAGGCCUUCGGGUGGUAAAGCACUGUUGUCCGGAAAGAACUAAUGGGCUCUUAACCAGGCUGGGGAUGACGGUACCGGAAGAAUAAGCACCGGCUAACUACGUG
rnacentral:rRNA from 1 species